GCAAACUUGGUCAUUUAGAGGAAGUAAAAGUCGUAACAAGGUUUCCGUAGGUGAACCUGCGGAAGGAUCAUUAUUGAAUAAACUUGGUGUGGUUUGCAGCUAGGCCCUCUCGAGGGUAUUGUGCUCGCCCAUCAUCUUUAUCUUUCCACCUGUGCACCUCUUGUAAACUUGGAUAAUAACUUUUCUGAGAGUAAAACUCAGUUGGGAGGAUUGGUGGGCGCUUAAAGUAUUAAGUGAUCAGCUUUCCUUGUAUUAUCUAAGUUUAUGUUUUAUUCAUAUACUAUAAAAAUGUAUUAGAAUGUAUAAUAUGGGCUUAUAUGUCUAUAAAACUAUAUACAACUUUCAGCAACGGAUCUCUUGGCUCUCGCAUCGAUGAAGAACGCAGC
rnacentral:misc_RNA from 1 species